UACGGGGGGGGCAAGCGUUGUUCGGAAUUACUGGGCGUAAAGGGCUCGUAGGCGGCCAACUAAGUCAGACGUGAAAUCCCUCGGCUUAACCGGGGAACUGCGUCUGAUACUGGAUGGCUUGAAUCCGGGAGAGGGAUGCGGAAUUCCAGGUGUAGCGGUGAAAUGCGUAGAUAUCUGGAGGAACACCGGUGGCGAAGGCGGCAUCCUGGACCGGCCCUGACACUGAGGAGCGAAAGCCAGGGGAGCAAACGGG
rnacentral:rRNA from 1 species